UAGGGAAUCUUCCACAAUGGGCGUAAGCCUGAUGGAGCAACACCGCGUGAGUGAAGAAGGGUUUCGGCUCGUAAAGCUCUGUUGUUAAAGAAAACNCGUAUGAGAGUAACUGUUCAUACGUUGACGGUAUUUAACCAGAAAGUCACGGCUAACUACGUGCCAG
rnacentral:rRNA from 1 species